CCCUUAGAUGUCCUGGGCUGCACGCGCGCUACACUGAUGUGUCCAGUAAGCACCUAACCUCUUCCGAAAGGAACGGGUAACCUUUGCAAAGCACAUCGUGAUGGGGAUAGAUUAUUGCAAUUAUUAGUCUUGAACGAGGAAUUCCUAGUAAGCACAAGUCAUCAGCUUGUGUUGAUUACGUCCCUGCCCUUUGUACACACCGCCCGUCGCUCCUACCGAUUGAAUGUUCCGGUGAGCUCUUCGGACUGCGCGGUCUGCAGUUUCUGCGUUCAGUGCGGAAAGUUGCGCAAACCUUAACAUUUAGAGGAAGGAGAAGUCGUAACA
rnacentral:rRNA from 1 species